GACGAACGCUGGCGGCGCGCCUAAAACAUGCAAGUCGAACGAGAACCUCGGGCUUCGGCCUGGGGGGAGAGUGGCGAACGGGUGAGUAACACGUGAGGAACCUGCCCCGGAGACCGGGAUAACUCGAGGAAACUCGGGCUAAUACCGGAUGCCCUCAUCGGACCGCAUGAUCUGAUGAGGAAAUGGAUUCCGCUCCGGGAUGGCCUCGCGGCCUAUCAGCUUGUUGGUGAGGUAACGGCUCACCAAGGCGACGACGGGUGGCUGGGCUGAGAGGACGAUCAGCCACACUGGGACUGAGACACGGCCCAGACUCCUACGGGAGGCAGCAGUUAGGAAUCUGGCGCAAUGGGGGAAACCCUGACGCAGCGACGCCGCGUGCGGGAUGAAGGCCUUCGGGUUGUAAACCGCUUUCAGCAGGGACGAAAUUGACGGUACCUGCAGAAGAAGGCCCGGCCAACUACGUGCCAGCAGCCGCAGUAAUAC
rnacentral:rRNA from 1 species